UCAAAUAAGCAGGGCUUCCACGGUCUCUCUCACUGAGUUCAUACACGAACAAUUCUUGAGCAUUUUCUGUUAAGUCAAUCAAAAAAAAUAUAUAAAAAAUUCAAAAAAUAUAUAUACUUGGUAUGAAUAUGAUUAUAAUAAUUAUUACUAGUGUUGACGUUCUCGCUAACUUGACUUUUGCAAGUAAAGGAUUUCUUAGGAACUACGUUCAUCUUGAGGCUCUUUGUGAGAGAUGAGUUUGAUGAAGUGAAAGGUGUGAAAGAAGAUGGGGGUGUUAGAAACGAUUUUGGGGUGGUGGCGAUAGCAGUAGGGUUAAUGAAGGAACUCAAAACGUUGGUUGAAGUGGCCAUUGUUGAUGAUAGAGGAAUUUAGUUAGAUGAAUUGUUUUGUAAGUAU
rnacentral:lncRNA from 1 species